rnacentral:rRNA from 1 species
AUUAAGCAUAUCAAUAAGCGGAGGAAAAGAACCCCACAGGGAUUGCCUUAGUAGCGGCGAGUGAAGCGGCAAGAGCUCAAAUUUGAAAUCUGGUGCCUUUGGUGCCCGAGUUGUAAUUUGAAGAAAGCUAUCUUGGAUUUGGCCUUUGUCUAUGUUCCUUGGAACAGGACGUCACAGAGGGUGAGAAUCCCGUGCGAUGAGGUGUCCAUUUCUAUGUAAGAUGUUUUCGAAGAGUCGAGUUGUUUGGGAAUGCAGCUCUAAGUGGGUGGUAAAUUCCAUCUAAAGCUAAAUAUUGGCGAGAGACCGAUAGCGAACAAGUACAGUGAUGGAAAGAUGAAAAGAACUUUGAAAAGAGAGUGAAAAAGUACGUGAAAUUGUUGAAAGGGAAGGGUAUUAGAUCAGACUUGGUAUUUAGUUAUCAUUGCUCCUUGUGGGUGGUGUUCUAGCUUUCUACUGGGCCAGCAUCAGUUUUGGUGGCAAGAUAAUGACAAUUUGAACGUGGCUCUUCGGAGUGUUAUAGCUUUUGUUGAUGUUGCCUACUGGGACUGUAGGUCUGCGGCUUUUGCCUAGGAUGCUGGCGUAAUGAUCCAAUACCGCCCGUUG